GGCGACGUGGCGGAGUGGUUACGCAGCGGAUUGCAAAUCCGUGGACACCGGUUCGAGUCCGGUCGUCGCCUCCA
rnacentral:tRNA from 2 species